AUUGAACGCUGGCGGCAGGCCUAACACAUGCAAGUCGAGCGAGCGGCGGACGGGUGAGUAAUGUCUGGGAAACUGCCUGCUGGAGGGGGAUAACUCCUGGAAACGGUAGCUAAUACAGCAUACCAUCAGAUGUGCCCAGAUGGGAUUAGCUAGUAGGUUGGGUCACGUGUCACCUAGGCGACGAUCCCUAGCUGGUCUGAGAGGAUGACCAGCCACACUGGAACUGAGACACGGUCCAGACUCCUACGGGAGGCAGCAGUGGGGAAUAUUGCACAAUGGGUGAAAGCCUGAUGCAGCCAGGCCGGGUGUGUGAAGAAGGCCUUCGGGUUGUAAAGCACUGUCAGCGGGGAGGCGUUACCCGCAGAAGAAGCACCGGCUAACUCCGUGCCAGCAGCCGCGGUAAUUC
rnacentral:rRNA from 1 species